CCUUCCCUGCUCUAUCUCUCAAAAUAAACAUUUUUUUAAAAAAAAGGAUCCUCAUCAAUACCUUGCCAUGAAAGAGAGACAGGUUGCCUCACUGACAGAUUGUAUACAUGCUGUUUACCUCUAGUACUAAAGCGGAAAAACAUUACCACCUUAGAGUCCUGGAAGAGAAGACAACAAUUAAUUAUGGAACAAUCCCUAAAACAUGGCAUCAGCAACUGAUACAGACUUUGUAAGAGACUUUCCUGCUCUCUCCUCAUUGGGAUGUCCACUUCUGGGCCUGUGUGUCCACCGGGUCCCAUCUCUGCCUGUGAUUCUAAUAGAAUCUUUUGCUUCUUCCAGGGACUUCAACAAGCUAAAACUUUCUACAGCUUGUUUGUCUGCUCUGACACGUACACCCUGACCUGUGAAAGGCCUGUGUUGAAGCAUUCAUGGACUAUCCACGGCUUCUCAGUUUAGGAUUACCACUGGGGAAAGUCCACGUAACAGCACAAAGAAGUCUUUGCCAGACAGUCGGAGUUCCAUGGCAGAGGGCAUACAGGGACUCUGAGCGGCUGAUUCCAGAAAGCUUAGCUUUAUACGAUCACCGUUUAGGGGAAGAAGGACCGGAAAUACAUUUGGACCUGCUGAGAGCUGGCAGAAAAAAAUCUUAAGAAGAUAAGGCAUUUUUGUUAACACUGCCACCAAAUCCCAAGACUGCCUGUGGCAUUAUUGACAAGUUACCAUACGGCGUUAUAUUCGCUUUGGGUGUACAAUGUGGCGAGCUGACAAUUCCAUACAUCAUUCAGUGCCCGUCAGGAUGAGUGGACUCUUAAUCCCCUUCAUGCGUUUCACCCAUCCCCCCCACCUCCCCUGCCCGCUGCUUUGAAACUUCUAUUUCCUUAAAAUAAAGCAAUUUUAUGUGAUAGGAGAAGCCUUUGAACCGACAUCCAAACUCGAAAUCCAUUGCCACUCUAGAAUGACCGGUUAAUGACUCUAUAAUGACAAUGAAAACACACGGUAUUACAGUCCCGGGCUGGAGGGUCUGGGUGCAUCUGUCACUGGUGGAGAGGGACUCUGCCAAGAAGCCAACACCGGCCCUGCUCUCUCAUCAAGGAGGCUGCUCAAUGUGCAACUCCGGGCUGUCCGCGAUGGCUGCCGCACUGACUGCUCGCGAGGCCCGCAGCCUGCUGUGGGGACCCAGGUAAGUAUUUUGUCCAAACUGACUUCUGAUCUUUCUUCCUGUGGGCUUGAACCUCGAAGCUGGAAGGGACCUCAGAGGGCAUGUAGUUUAACGAUUUUCAACCCUAGCUACUCCCUAGAAUCACACAAGGGGGGAGUUUGAAGUCCAGGUCCUACUCCAGACCAUCAGCUCACUGUCCUCGUUAUCUUACUUGAUUGUCACACGUGUCUGGAGAGUAGGUAUCACGGGCUCUGUUUACAGAGAGGCAAACAGAUGCUCGAUGAUGUUAAGUGGCAGUGCCCAAUAUGACACAGCUAAUUAAGUAGCGGAGCUGUGAUUUGAGCACAGGUCCUUCACUCCAUUUUGAAUGUGAGAACUUUCUCUGUUUUUAAAGCAGUGGAACCCUUGCUGUCACUGAGGGGAGCGGCCAGUCAUCAGGGGGGCAUGAUCUUCAGACCUCUCUGGUCGUUCACUCAGACUUCCUGAGAGAGGUGAGUUUGAUUCACGUCUCAACCUGCACUGGCUCUGUCCCUUCUCAGGAAGAAACCCACCAUGUUCUACAGGGCGAGAUCUCCCUUCUGUAGUGUGGUACCGCAGGCCCUUCGUCCUCAGGCCCCUGCUCCCUUCUCCAGCCUCAUUUCUUCCUCCUCAAUUUCGGCCUUUGUGCUAAAAAGUUGGUAGGAGCCAGAUGGAAGAACACUUGAAAUU